GGGGUUGUGGCUCAGCGGUGGAGUGCUCACCUAGCACGUGAGAGGCCCUGAGUUCUAUUCUCAGCACCA
rnacentral:tRNA from 1 species